rnacentral:rRNA from 1 species
GGGUUGUGAGGUUAAGCGACUAAGCGUACACGGUGGAUGCCCUGGCAGUCAGAGGCGAUGAAGGACGUGCUAAUCUGCGAUAAGCGUCGGUAAGGUGAUAUGAACCGUUAUAACCGGCGAUUUCCGAAUGGGGAAACCCAGUGUGAUUCGUCACACUAUCAUUAACUGAAUCCAUAGGUUAAUGAGGCGAACCGGGGGAACUGAAACAUCUAAGUACCCCGAGGAAAAGAAAUCAACCGAGAUUCCCCCAGUAGCGGCGAGCGAACGGGGAGCAGCCCAGAGCCUGAAUCAGUGUGUGUGUUAGUGGAAGCGUCUGGAAAGGCGCGCGAUACAGGGUGACAGCCCCGUACACAAAAAUGCACAUGCUGUGAGCUCGAUGAGUAGGGCGGGACACGUGGUAUCCUGUCUGAAUAUGGGGGGACCAUCCUCCAAGGCUAAAUACUCCUGACUGACCGAUAGUGAACCAGUACCGUGAGGGAAAGGCGAAAAGAACCCCGGCGAGGGGAGUGAAAAAGAACCUGAAACCGUGUACGUACAAGCAGUGGGAGCACGCUUAGGCGUGUGACUGCGUACCUUUUGUAUAAUGGGUCAGCGACUUAUAUUCUGUAGCAAGGUUAACCGAAUAGGGGAGCCGAAGGGAAACCGAGUCUUAACUGGGCGUUAAGUUGCAGGGUAUAGACCCGAAACCCGGUGAUCUAGCCAUGGGCAGGUUGAAGGUUGGGUAACACUAACUGGAGGACCGAACCGACUAAUGUUGAAAAAUUAGCGGAUGACUUGUGGCUGGGGGUGAAAGGCCAAUCAAACCGGGAGAUAGCUGGUUCUCCCCGAAAGCUAUUUAGGUAGCGCCUCGUGAAUUCAUCUCCGGGGGUAGAGCACUGUUUCGGCAAGGGGGUCAUCCCGACUUACCAACCCGAUGCAAACUGCGAAUACCGGAGAAUGUUAUCACGGGAGACACACGGCGGGUGCUAACGUCCGUCGUGAAGAGGGAAACAACCCAGACCGCCAGCUAAGGUCCCAAAGUCAUGGUUAAGUGGGAAACGAUGUGGGAAGGCCCAGACAGCCAGGAUGUUGGCUUAGAAGCAGCCAUCAUUUAAAGAAAGCGUAAUAGCUCACUGGUCGAGUCGGCCUGCGCGGAAGAUGUAACGGGGCUAAACCAUGCACCGAAGCUGCGGCAGCGACGCUGAUGCGUUGUUGGGUAGGGGAGCGUUCUGUAAGCCUGCGAAGGUGUGCUGUGAGGCAUGCUGGAGGUAUCAGAAGUGCGAAUGCUGACAUAAGUAACGAUAAAGCGGGUGAAAAGCCCGCUCGCCGGAAGACCAAGGGUUCCUGUCCAACGUUAAUCGGGGCAGGGUGAGUCGACCCCUAAGGCGAGGCCGAAAGGCGUAGUCGAUGGGAAACAGGUUAAUAUUCCUGUACUUGGUGUUACUGCGAAGGGGGGACGGAGAAGGCUAUGUUGGCCGGGCGACGGUUGUCCCGGUUUAAGCGUGUAGGCUGGUUUUCCAGGCAAAUCCGGAAAAUCAAGGCUGAGGCGUGAUGACGAGGCACUACGGUGCUGAAGCAACAAAUGCCCUGCUUCCAGGAAAAGCCUCUAAGCAUCAGGUAACAUCAAAUCGUACCCCAAACCGACACAGGUGGUCAGGUAGAGAAUACCAAGGCGCUUGAGAGAACUCGGGUGAAGGAACUAGGCAAAAUGGUGCCGUAACUUCGGGAGAAGGCACGCUGAUAUGUAGGUGAAGUCCCUCGCGGAUGGAGCUGAAAUCAGUCGAAGAUACCAGCUGGCUGCAACUGUUUAUUAAAAACACAGCACUGUGCAAACACGAAAGUGGACGUAUACGGUGUGACGCCUGCCCGGUGCCGGAAGGUUAAUUGAUGGGGUUAGCGCAAGCGAAGCUCUUGAUCGAAGCCCCGGUAAACGGCGGCCGUAACUAUAACGGUCCUAAGGUAGCGAAAUUCCUUGUCGGGUAAGUUCCGACCUGCACGAAUGGCGUAAUGAUGGCCAGGCUGUCUCCACCCGAGACUCAGUGAAAUUGAACUCGCUGUGAAGAUGCAGUGUACCCGCGGCAAGACGGAAAGACCCCGUGAACCUUUACUAUAGCUUGACACUGAACAUUGAGCCUUGAUGUGUAGGAUAGGUGGGAGGCUUUGAAGUGUGGACGCCAGUCUGCAUGGAGCCGACCUUGAAAUACCACCCUUUAAUGUUUGAUGUUCUAACGUGGACCCGUAAUCCGGGUUGCGGACAGUGUCUGGUGGGUAGUUUGACUGGGGCGGUCUCCUCCUAAAGAGUAACGGAGGAGCACGAAGGUUGGCUAAUCCUGGUCGGACAUCAGGAGGUUAGUGCAAUGGCAUAAGCCAGCUUGACUGCGAGCGUGACGGCGCGAGCAGGUGCGAAAGCAGGUCAUAGUGAUCCGGUGGUUCUGAAUGGAAGGGCCAUCGCUCAACGGAUAAAAGGUACUCCGGGGAUAACAGGCUGAUACCGCCCAAGAGUUCAUAUCGACGGCGGUGUUUGGCACCUCGAUGUCGGCUCAUCACAUCCUGGGGCUGAAGUAGGUCCCAAGGGUAUGGCUGUUCGCCAUUUAAAGUGGUACGCGAGCUGGGUUUAGAACGUCGUGAGACAGUUCGGUCCCUAUCUGCCGUGGGCGCUGGAGAAUUGAGGGGGGCUGCUCCUAGUACGAGAGGACCGGAGUGGACGCAUCACUGGUGUUCGGGUUGUCAUGCCAAUGGCACUGCCCGGUAGCUAAAUGCGGAAGAGAUAAGUGCUGAAAGCAUCUAAGCACGAAACUUGCCCCGAGAUGAGUUCUCCCUGACUCCUUGAGAGUCCUGAAGGAACGUUGAAGACGACGACGUUGAUAGGCCGGGUGUGUAAGCGCAGCGAUGCGUUGAGCUAACCGGUACUAAUGAACCGUGAGGCUUAACCUUACAACGCCGAAGCUGUU